rnacentral:rRNA from 1 species
AUGAACGCUGGCGGCGUGCCUAAUACAUGCAAGUCGAACGCUUCACUUCGGUGAAGAGUGGCGAACGGGUGAGUAAUACAUAAGUAACCUGGCAUCUACAGGGGGAUAACUGAUGGAAACGUCAGCUAAGACCGCAUAAGCGCACAGGACCGCAUGGUCCGGUGUGAAAAACUCCGGUGGUAUAAGAUGGACCCGCGUUGGAUUAGCUGGUUGGUGGGGUAACGGCCUACCAAGGCGACGAUGCGUAGCCGACCUGAGAGGGUGACCGGCCACACUGGGACUGAGACACGGCCCAGACUCCUACGGGAGGCAGCAGUAGGGAAUUUUCGGCAAUGGGGGAAACCCUGACCGAGCAACGCCGCGUGAAGGAAGAAGUAAUUCGUUAUGUAAACUUCUGUCAUAGAGGAAGAACGGUGGAUAUAGGGAAUGAUAUCCAAGUGACGGUACUCUAUAAGAAAGCCACGGCUAACUACGUGCCAGCAGCCGCGGUAAUACGUAGGUGGCGAGCGUUAUCCGGAAUUAUUGGGCGUAAAGAGGGAGCAGGCGGCACUAAGGGUCUGUGGUGAAAGAUCGAAGCUUAACUUCGGUAAGCCAUGGAAACCGUAGAGCUAGAGUGUGUGAGAGGAUCGUGGAAUUCCAUGUGUAGCGGUGAAAUGCGUAGAUAUAUGGAGGAACACCAGUGGCGAAGGCGACGAUCUGGCGCAUAACUGACGCUCAGUCCCGAAAGCGUGGGGAGCAAAUAGGAUUAGAUACCCUAGUAGUCCACGCCGUAAACGAUGAGUACUAAGUGUUGGGGGUCAAACCUCAGUGCUGCAGUUAACGCAAUAAGUACUCCGCCUGAGUAGUACGUUCGCAAGAAUGAAACUCAAAGGAAUUGACGGGGGCCCGCACAAGCGGUGGAGCAUGUGGUUUAAUUCGAAGCAACGCGAAGAACCUUACCAGGUCUUGACAUCGAUCUAAAGGCUCCAGAGAUGGAGAGAUAGCUAUAGAGAAGACAGGUGGUGCAUGGUUGUCGUCAGCUCGUGUCGUGAGAUGUUGGGUUAAGUCCCGCAACGAGCGCAACCCCUGUUGCCAGUUGCCAGCAUUAAGUUGGGGACUCUGGCGAGACUGCCGGUGACAAGCCGGAGGAAGGCGGGGAUGACGUCAAAUCAUCAUGCCCCUUAUGACCUGGGCUACACACGUGCUACAAUGGACAGAGCAGAGGGAAGCGAAGCCGCGAGGUGGAGCGAAACCCAUAAAACUGUUCUCAGUUCGGACUGCAGUCUGCAACUCGACUGCACGAAGAUGGAAUCGCUAGUAAUCGCGAAUCAGCAUGUCGCGGUGAAUACGUUCUCGGGCCUUGUACACACCGCCCGUCACACCAUGAGAGUCGGUAACACCCGAAGCCGGUGGCCUAACCGCAAGGAAGGAGCUGUCUAAGGUGGGACUGAUGAUUGGGGUG